rnacentral:lncRNA from 1 species
CGUGCCUGUGCCCUGGCAGCGGGCAGCCUGUACAGCAGCAGGGUGGCUGUGCCCUGGCAGUCCUCCAGCGUGCCUGUCUGCCUGCGGAGCGCCUGUACCCUGGCCCAGUGCCUGCGGGUGCCUUUGACUGACUGGUCUUGUCCCUGACCCCGAGAAGAAGGAAGCGGCUCCGGCUGUCAGCGGUGCGCUUCAGCCGUGACAUGCUGUGAUACGGGGAAGUGAUGCCUGUACAGACAGCCCAGGGGACAAACCCUCGGCCUGGAGCACGCCCUUCCUUUGCGCCGCCUGUUCUCUCCGCCAGUUCCUCGAGCUCAGAGCGAGCGGGCUGUUGUCUCCCGAGGGCUGGGAGCCAUCACUGAACAUCACCCCUGUGGCGGAGCGCUGGGACGGUCCCAGGCAGCCCGGCUGCUUCCCUGGGCUUUUUUCCGUUGUCGCCGUCCCCUCAGCAGGCAGAGGACGGCACGGUCCCCGGCUGCAGGGACCUGGUCUGCUGCAGUCGUGGCCCAGCCGGCCUGCCCUGCCCGCUGCUCGUGGCUGCCCUGGGUCCAGCGGUGCAGCUGAUGUCUGCUCGGCAUUGCACCCGUCCCUGGGAGCGUCCGUGUCGGGUGGAAAUCCCCUCUUCGCUGCCAACGCCUGAGGACCCACCUGGAUGCUCCUCCUCUGCCGGGCAAAGGAGACCUGGAAACCCCAGUGCCAGGGCCGUGGGGAGCGCUCCGAGCGGUGCCUGGCGGGGGGCAUCGGCUCCCGCCUGCCUGGACAUGGCUGGGCAGAGAGGAGGGCUGCCCCUGCCCCUGCUGCUGCUGACCCUCGCUGGCCUUGUGCCGCACCUCGCGCUGGGGACCACUGCCACAGAUGUGACAGUCACCGUGUCCACAGCUCACCCUACCUACCCAACACCUAUGGAGACCUCGGCACUGCUGCCCACCAGCACCUCCACCACCGCAGCCACUGUCCCUCCCUCCAGCCCUGAAACUGGAGCCUCCACCCCUGAAACUGGACCCUCCACCCCAGAGAUGUCCAGUACAUCACCAGGGCCCGGCAGCACCUCUUCUCCCACCAUGCCUCCUCCCACCGCACCAGCACCGACAGCUGCUUCGGCCGAGCCCUUGACAUCAGACACCACGGCCACCCCUGAUACCAGCACGGGGGUCCGUGGGAGCACUCCCGCUCCCGGCCAGCCAGCGGGAACCACAGCCAGAGCCACCCCUGGCAUCUCCACCGUGACCACGGGGCUAGUCCCAGGCACCCCGACAGCACCCGAGACCCCCAGUACAGCCACGGGCGUGGAGCCCUCUUCCCCCGCCACCGACUCAACCCAGACCCCAGAGGUUACCCUCAGCACCCCUGCAGACCUACCAACGACACUGCCCGUCUGCGACACCGCCACGUCCAACACCAGUGCAUCUCACCUCUUUUUGUCACUGCGGCUAACUGUCCCCUUGGACCUGGGGAACACCACAGUGCAGGAACUGGUGUUGUCCAAGCUCCGCAGGGACCUGCAGACGGCGUUCCCAUUUGCCGGCCUGGCAGUGGAGUGGCGAGGGCACAGGAGGACCUGACUGCUGCUCCUCGCCUGGCCGGCACCCGUGCGGACUGGCAAGCCUUCUUCUCCCAGCUCCUUACUCCACGGCGGCGCAGCCCUUCGGGGUAACCUGUACAGCUCCCCUUGAACCUGGGAACCCCCUGUCCUUCACUGCACACCCCCCAGAGGACCCCCAGUGCCUCCCGUGGGCUGGGGUGCCCCUGCCCCUUCCACAGCCCGUCUGUAGAGCCCGAGCCCUCCCACCACACUGCACCAGCCGUGGGACCCCCCAGUGCUGCUGGGGGGCUGGGAGGAGGGGAACCUGCAGGGGCUGGGCUUUUACACCUGGGACUGAGAUGGCUCAGCCACAAAAGCCACCCUGGGGAUCGAUGGAUGAGAGCAAGGAGACCUGGACCCCCCGGUACUGCUGUGCCCGGGGCACUCGGGGGCUCAGUGCUGGUGACCUCUGUGGUUUGCAGCCUGGGGAGGCUGCGGUGCCCGAGGUCUUCAAGAGAUGCUCCAUGGCUGCUUCACAUCCAGACCGGGCCAAGAUGGAGCCUGGGGUGGCUCUGGGAAGGAGGCAGGAGAGGAAAAGAGCCCGCCUCUCCCACCUGAGCCCCGUCCCAGGUCCAGCUGAGCUCCUGAGCCCUGCAGCGCAGAGGGCGAGUGAAGCCAGAGCCCCGCACACCAUCUGUCCCCGGCUCGCCUACAAUAUUGCUGACAGAGGAGCACACCCAUGCCAACACGGGCUGGGCAGUAAAGGAAAUCCCACGUUUUCUGCAGCAAAGAUGAUGACUUCUUUUUUUUCUGAAUUGCCUUCCCCAGUUUUCAGCUUUGCCAUCUAGCAGAGGUACGGGCAAGAAAAAACGGCUGAGUCCCAAAAGCUUCGCAGCAGAGACGGGCUCAGGGCUGUCCCCUCCUGUCAGGGGCUGCUGCAGAUGUUCCCAAGGAUGGCUUGGCACCUCGACACGCUGGGGGGUCCCCGCUUUCAUGCUCUGCCCCAUGACACCCCAUGGCUGCCAGGGCAGCUGUGCACACCAUGGGGCCAUGGAAAUCCCGUGGGUUGUGCUCCUUCCCUGUUUUUUUCCAGUCCCCACCUAAGGAGACGGCCGCAGCGUCUGUCCCCCUGCAGCAAAGUCAUUUAUUAACUGAUUAAUUAGCCAGAUAAAAUCCAACUGAAGCAAUUAUUAGCCUAAGCAAGUCACCUCGCCUGGAGAUUGAAAACUGAAAUAAUUAGCAAAAUAGCU